rnacentral:rRNA from 1 species
GACGAACGCUGGCGGCGUGCCUAAUACAUGCAAGUUGAGCGCUGAAGGUUGGUACUUGUACCAACUGGAUGAGCAGCGAACGGGUGAGUAACGCGUGGGGAAUCUGCCUUUGAGCGGGGGACAACAUUUGGAAACGAAUGCUAAUACCGCAUAAAAACUUUAAACACAAGUUUUAAGUUUGAAAGAUGCAAUUGCAUCACUCAAAGAUGAUCCCGCGUUGUAUUAGCUAGUUGGUGAGGUAAAGGCUCACCAAGGCGAUGAUACAUAGCCGACCUGAGAGGGUGAUCGGCCACAUUGGGACUGAGACACGGCCCAAACUACUACGGGAGGCAGCAGUAGGGAAUCGUCGGCAAUGGACGAAAGUAUGACCGAGCAACGCCGCGUGAGUGAAGAAGGUGUUCGGAUCGUAAAACUCUGUUGGUAGAGAAGAACGUUGGUGAGAGUGGAAAGCUCAUCAAGUGACGGUAACUACCCAGAAAGGGACGGCUAACUACGUG